rnacentral:rRNA from 1 species
CAAUAGCGUAUAUUAAAGUUGUUGCAGUUAAAAAGCUCGUAGUUGGAUUUCGGGGUGGCCUGGCUGGUCCGCCGCAAGGUGAGUACUGGUCAGCCGCCCUUCCUCUCGAAAGCCCCGACUGCUCUUUACUGCAGUGGUCGGGUAGUUCGGGACGUUUACUUUGAAAAAAUUAGAGUGUUCAAGGCAGGCUAUCGCCUGAAUACAUUAGCAUGGAAUAAUGGAAGAGGACCUCGGUCCUAUUUUGUUGGUUUCUAGGGCCGAAGUAAUGAUUAAGAGGGACAGUUGGGGGCAUUCGUAUUUAAUUGUCAGAGGUGAAAUUCUUGGAUUUAUGGAAGACGAACUAGUGCGAAAGCAUUUGCCAAGGAUGUUUUCAUUAA